ensembl:lncRNA
UUUACCCCCUACGGCCAAGUUUCUUGGAAGUUGUCCCCGAGCCCUUGUUGGCUGGUGUGAUAGCAGGAGUGUGCUUCCUGUUUGUGGCCAUCAUCCUGUCCUUGGUAACAGCGUGCUAUAUGAGUCAAAGGAGACAACGCCGGCGCAGAAAGCGGCAACAGGACUUACCUCCUGCCUUCCAGAAGAGUACAUCUCCACAAGCUCGCACGCCACCUCGGAGCCCAGACAGUGUCCUAAAGCUGAAGCUGUGUCCGCCACUUCCCUUCUUCCCCAACUCCUCUUCUGCACAGUCUGAUCGGUCAUCUUUUGAGAAAGGCAGUCGUGGUGAAUACCAUGACCAGCGAAAACAGCUCCUGUCCAACUCAUCUCCACCACCACAUUACACACUGUUUGAGAGUCACCUGGGCUCCCAGGCCCCUUCCCCAACUGCUCUAGAAUCCAUCUCCAGAGGUCCAGAUGGACGCUUCAUUGUGCAACCAUUACAGGAGGGUUCAAGUCCCACAGAUAAGAAAAAUCUCAAAAAGGAUGUCCUGCAAAGUAAUGGUGGGGCAAGUGGCUCAGGGAGCAACCGGACGUCAUUCAGGGACUCCCCAAAGUCAAGUAUCCUGAGCUCAGAAAAGGAUGAGAGAAAGGAUUCCCCGCUUACUGUAGAUGUGCCAGAGUUGAGCAGGCCUCCUUCCUCUCCAGGGAGAGUUCGGGCAAUGGCCAGAAACUUUUCUCGUCACGGGUGCUUUUACUCUGAUGAUGAACAAAGCUCAGAGGCCCUGCUGGAAAGAGCCAGUUUCUAUUCAGACAACAGUGAAAGAAAACCCAGUGAUUCUCUCAGGAGACACCGCAUACCAGGCCACACAGAAGAUCUUUUCCCCAGUUUGGGCCGGAGAGCUAGAGAAAGAGACAGAUCACCCCUUACUGCUUACCAGCCUAUAGAAAAAGAAAGUCAGCUGACAAACAACAGUACUCAGCUCUCACAACUUGACAGUGAGCUGGAGAGGGACAGUGUUAACAAAUGUGUCCAACUAGCAAAGGAAAGGGAAGAAAUAGAGCGGGAGUUGAAGAACUAUACAGCCAAUCAGAGAAGUCAAAGUCAAUUGGAUAAGGCAAAAAACCCUCAAAGAGAACUUCCCAAAUCAGAGGAUGAGCCUAUAUGGAAACCACAAGAUGUUACAAUCAGACACAAACACAGGCCCUCAGGUCAGACCAGUCGGGUAUCUGAUUAUAGGAAGGCUUGUUACUUUGGCAACACUAGCAGCCCCAUGGAUCGGCUCUCUACCUCUCGCAUACAUUGGGACAUAAGUCCUGUUACAUCAGUCACCAGUCUCAUUCCUGUACAGACUCCCAGGGACGCCACAUCUCCCAGGUCACUGCGUCCUCACACAUCUACGGAGGGUUCUCUUCUUGAUUCACCUCGUUCUCCAGUUACCCAGAACACCUCCCUCCCCCUACUCUCCCCUGGUGGUACCUCAGAAAGUUUGGAAAUACCUGAGAGAGCCAGGUCAAUGAGUCCUCCUAGAAGGCCAGAUAUAUGCAGGAAGCUCACAGUAGAGGAGGGUUUGAUGGAAAGAACACUGAGCGGAGGUAUUACUUCAAGGUUUAGAAGUUCAUAUGCUUAUGCUGGCACUCAGCCCUGGGAUUCAGCUGCCAGAAGUUCUCCAGUCACCACAGAGAGGUUGGACAGUCCAGCUCAGGCUUAUAAUCGUCCUGAGCAACCUGUAGAAGUAGAUUACACAUCCACAAGGGAUCCUAGUCCCUCCAGUUAUUCCACCUUACCCUAUGAACACCAUGAAAGGGCAAAAGUAAAAGACAGAGAAUCUCAUAGUCAGGACAACCACAGAGGUUCAGAUUUUUAUUCAGAAAUAGAGCGAGAGGGUGUACGAACACGCUCAAGGAGGAGUGAUAGAUGUCUUAUCUCAGACAGUCCUAGUCCUAUUACAACAUUAACUCUUGUGGAAGAGGUUGAAAGUGACCAGUCUCAAUUUUCUGUCCCCAGAAUGUCAGGGUCUUUCAAGGCCAAACCCACAGCUCAGUCUCCUAAAAUGUCUCCUGUGCAGACAAGUGCAAUUCUUGAAUACCUGAGUCUUCCAGGUUUCAUUGAAAUGAGUGUGGAUGAACCGGUAGAAGAAGGUGAAGUCACAGACACUUCUGGACAAAGUUCAAAAGUGGCUAAGCCAGAUGUAGUUCCUAAAAACUGGGAGGUUCAUGUUCAGGAAACCCGUGGAAAAGACGUAAACCAAAAGGAAGUUCGCUUUGUGCAGAGUGAACAGUCCAUAAGUGCUGCAGAGGCAAGCUUUGGUGCUGGUGAAAAACAAGGUGAUAGACAGUCACUCCAAAUGGAGACUAGAGGUCCCUCACCCAGAGUCAGAUUUCCAGAUGAAAUAAAUUCAUCUUCACAUGGUCCAGAAAAAACUAGCAAACAACUUUAUAAUGAGAAAACACAACUUAGGCUUGAGAACAAAAGCACAGGUAGGCCUGACACCCAACUGGGAUCCAGGUCAGCCCACACCUUGUUUAGUGCAGCUAGAGGCAUGGCAGAUAUAAUGUCAAAACACUCCCAGAGUUUUGGAGACAGUAGUGAGUCUUUAUCAGAGUCAUCCCAAAAACAAGCUUCUCAGGGCAGUAGGAAAAACAAUAUUGCAUCACGAAUAUGUCAAGCUCCUGUGCCAUUUCUGAAAAAAUCCCUAAGCAUUGGCCCUUGUAGAACCCUCUCAGGUGUGGGACGCCCUUUUCUAAAGAAAUCCAUCAGUUUAGGCUCACAGAGGUGGGAACACUUUGAGAGCCCGAGGGCUUACAUUUCAGAAACAUGUUACUGGGAUGAGUUCCCACACCCAGACGUCAGGGUGAAAUCCUACAGUUUGGGUCAUACUCCAUCUUCCCUUCCCCGACCAGGUCCCUCCUGGAGGGAGUAUGUCCCAAUUAGAAGACCCAGCAUAGGCAGCUUAGAGCGGCCUCACCACUCACAAAGAUCUUUAGCUAGUCCUCCCUACCUCACUUCUUCAAUGUACCCACUCAGACAAACCUCAGUCUCCCCGAUGCUGGAACCCUCUGAUCCACGUAGACAAGCUGCUGUUUUUCCAGAGUACGCCAGGUGGUCUCCCUCAUAUCAUGAUAUGCCAACGACUGCCCAUAAAUAUGUCCCUAUGCCUUCCUCCAUUCCUGUGCCCCAGUACCAACACUGGCCAGGGUCCAGAGGGGAAAGCAUGAGACCCAUGGAGCCCAGGAGGGGCCCACCGAGAUCCUACCUGCCCAGAGGCAUCAGCUGGCCUUCACCCUACUAUGCCCCCUUUCCACCCAGGGAAGGAGAGACGUACAGACCACCAGACAGGAUGGUAGGGAGGGCAGGGGAGACUGAAAUUCGAGAGGUCAGGGAGGGGGGAAGGGCCAGCUAUGCUAGUCAAAGCAGUGGUAGAGGAAGUGCUGGUCUCUUCCGCCAGUCCCUGUCCAUCACCCCCACCCUGCUCAGCUCCCCAGAAACCACAGAGGAGGGUGAGCGACACAGAGCUGAGAUGGAGCCACCUGAGAGAAGAGCCAAAAGGUGA